CCAGAUUAAAGUAAAGCAAAAAUUGUCAAGAAUAAUUUUUUAUAGUUAUUAGAUUAUAAAUAUAUUUAGUACUCUCCCAAAAAAAAAGUAAAUCCUAGUGAAUAAUCAUGCUGAUGUUUGCUCUUAACCAAUGGGAGGCAGCCAAGCUAUGUGGGGUUAGAGAAGAAGGCACUGUGACAUGUGGCAUAUGCAAAGUGUUGAUUGGACUGCUUCUUUCCUGAAAUUGCUAUCAUCAUCCAAACUUGCAUCUCCACAGAUUUUUCUUGAGAUCUUUUAAAUUUUCCUGCAGAAAUCGCCUCCAUCGCUCCCGAUGUGGAGCACUGCUGCUUUAGGGAAAGGGCAAGAGAGCGAUGCACUUGAGUAAAUGGCCAGUGAAGCUCCGACUCCUGGAUCUCCCAGGCAAAGAUCUUCCCAGAGAUCUCUCGCUCAACUGCCACAGCAAUCCCCAUAGGAAUAGGUGCCAGCACCAGAUCUGGAGCUUGAUGGGAUGCCUUUCUACAAUCUCGCCACUGUCACUUCCGGCAUGGAGGAUCUCCACCGUUGCUUUAGGGAAAGGGCGUAGCCCUAGAGGAAAGCAAGUAAAUGGCUAGUGAAGCUGUGGCUCCCAAUCCCCACAGGAACAAGAGCCAGUAGUAGAUCUGGAGCUGCAGGCUCUAGAUCCACAACAGGAUGCAAGCACUCCUCCUAAGCCCCUGGUGGCAGUGGCAGUGGCGGCUUUGCCAGCGACAAUAGAGGUGAGUGUGGCUGCUGGAGAGGAGCCAGAAAAUGCCAUUUAGCCUUUCAUACAUUUUUCUUCUUUAUGUACCUCACCAAUUGAUAAGGUAAUUCUUUUGUAAUGAUGUAGGUUGAUGGUUAGCUUAGUCUUAAUACAAUCACAUUAAACACCUUUAUAAAUCUUUUAACUAACAUAGUUUAUUAGGUUUUGAAUCUA
rnacentral:lncRNA from 1 species